GUGGUGGUAGGUGAGGACCUUCCACUUCGCCUCGUUGCCGUGCUUGUUGAUGACGUCGGUGACGAAGCCGAUGUGCGCCGCGUCGCCGCCGCC
rnacentral:tRNA from 1 species